rnacentral:pre_miRNA from 1 species
UCAGCCGUGGUAUCAGGUCCUGCUUCAUCAAGUGGUCUUGUGUUCAAAUCCAGCCUCAAGCACAUGGUUAACCAGGCUCUGAUACCAUGGUGAAUAUAA